GGGGUUCAGUGCGGUCGGCCCAAGAGCCCCCCUCGUGUGGGAUCGUGGCGAGGUGCGUGCGUGCGAUGCGGUGCGGUUGCGUCAUCGUUCACGCAAGACGCGUCUCACGAUCGCUGAGGAUCCACGGGCAUGCUCGACGGAAGUCGCCGGGCGCUGAGACGGCACCACCAACAACUACCCAAGUUCUGUGGUGCCACACGUACGAAAAUGUUUUCAGCGAAUCGAUGUGCAUUUACACACAGUCCUGUUGUCCCUGCUGCGCCUGUAGAAGAGGCGCCCUACCUUUCGCCCCCCUCAAGAUGAAACCGAAGCCCUCGCUCUCCUUCUUCUGUAGCACCACGCUCUUCUCUUCCACCAGGUAGUCAC